GACCAAGGAGUCCGACUCGUGCGCGAGUCGAAGGGUCUUGAAUAGGCCCGAAGGCGAAGCGAAAGCGAACCCGUGACUCCGCGUUAGAGAUCGCGCGGAAGCAACGGGGACCCGGCAGUAUAUGAUCGGGCGAGCCGUGGCCGAGAGAAGCGGCCGGGCGGAUCGUGCUUGCACUUUCCGUUCCGGACGUAUUAGCGGUGCACGGUCGAGUUCCCGAUCUGUCGGAGUCUGGAGCGCACGGGUUGGUACCCGAAAGAUGGUGAACUAUGCUCAGCCCGGUUGAAGGCGCGGGAAACGGUGCCGGAGGACCCUAGGGGUUCUGACGUGCAAAUCGAUCCCGUGAGCCACGUAUAGGGGCGAAAGACUAAUCGAACCAUCUAGUAGCUGGUUCCCUCCGAAGUUUCCCGUAGGAUAGCCGGCGCUCGUGACAGAGCAGUCGCUCCUCGUAGAGCGAAUGAAUAGAGGCCCCGGGGGCCUCUGACGCCCUCGACCUAUUAUCAAACUGCAACGAGGUGCGUCGGAUGGUCUGGGACUGCGAGAGGUACGGAUCGAGUCCCGGCCCGAAGGCGCGUUCACGGUGAAGUCUUGUGCCAAAGCCGAUGGAACGCGCCGAAGGAUGUAUGAGUGCCGAGUGGGCCACUUUUG
rnacentral:rRNA from 1 species